CGGACCGUUCAUGUGUUUUCCAUGGUGCUAACUUCAUUCUGCCUGCUUUUUCAGGAACAAGUGCAAGUGACCUUCAUUUUCAGAUGUACUUGAUGGAAGGGCUUGUGCAGCGGAAUAAGGCUUGUGCGGUUGCUGCCGUUGAAGGUGGAGGCAGAAAGGAGCCAGCUAUUUUAGGGCCUUAAUUUGGCGGAGGACUACACCAGUAGUUUGAUUGUCGUGAUUGUCUACAGGAGAACUCAUUGCCGUGGAAUACUUGUAUUACCAAACUAAUAAAGCUUUUGAGGAAGACUUCGGUGCGGAUCCUGAUACUCCAGAUGGGAUUCAGGAUGAAGACCUGAAGAUUGAUCUGGAGAGUGAUGAGGGGUUUGAGGAUGAAGACUUGGAUGGUGAGCCCCUUAAAAUCAUGGAGCUCAGCCUCGAUAUCCCAGAACCCAUUCAGCAGCAAGCAGAGGCCAUACAACCUCCAGGUCCGUCAUCAGAUACAGCAGAGUCUUCCUCCGCUUCGCAUCGUGGCCGCAUCAUUUUUAUGCAUUUUGUGCAGUAUUUUUCUAAUAAUUCAACGGCCUGUCGUCAAUUAUUUUUACUUAAUGCACUGCUGGAGAGCCUGGGUCCAGAUGGCAGACCUGGCUAUGACCAUGUCGUCAGGCUAGCCAACAGUCUGGUGGACCUCAGACUUGAGGGGUUAAUUUCUCAGCAGAAGGUGGAUGAGAUUGUGACUCUCUGGGAUAAACUGUCAGAGUUUGACAAGGGUGCUCUCAUCUACCCAGCUCGCCACCGCGACAGGCUGGUUAGGGGCGCUUCAAAGUCAGUCAUUCUGUGACAAAUGUGACCCCUGGAGCUGACAGUUUGAAGCGCUGCUUCCUUGGUGAAGGCAGUGGACCUGCUCAGUGGCCCAAUGCCAGCCGUCUUGUGGAGGCAGUCUGCCUGGCUCUAUGCAGAAUUUACCCUGCUGGUCAGACAGUGGCUGGUGUCAAGGUAAACAGGUGGACUGUCAUUCUGCGUGACUACAGGAUGAUAACAGAUGUAGUCCUGGACAGCCCCAGACUCAUGGCCGAAACAAGGCACAAUGCACGGAAACGGAGGCAGGAAAGGGAGGUCUUGGAGCAGAGUAUUCAGACCUUUACCACUCCCUUGGUGGCCUCUGAACCCCUCCCACCUGUGCUGUUUAAGCAUCAGGAACUGGUCCAGCAUGGGCACAAAGCCUACGAGUUCAACAUUCCGGUGGAUGCAUCAGGACAGGCAGUACAGCGUGUUCGAGGCCAACCUCCUACAGUGGGCUCAACAUCAGCAGCUGUUGCCCAAGGACAGCCUCCUCCACUCCAGGUGGGCUUUUCAGUCCCUGUUUCUGCCCGCUUGCUACAGACACAGACUACAGACACUGCAGCUAUUGCUGUACGACCUGCUACACCUACCAGUCCAAAGGUGCCAAGGACCACAGCUUGGCGGCGGAGGAGGCAGCUGCAGCACAAGGUGCAACACCCAAAAAAAGACAACAGACUGAACAAUACAUUUGCCAAAAGUGUGGCCAACCAAAGACAAAGGAGUUUGGCCACAGUCGGUUCCGAGGUGCCCACUUUUGUGCCAAGUCAUCUGGAAAAACUGUGUUUUAUUAUAUAUUCAUAUUUAUUGUGCAUUUUGGAAUCCCUACAGUAUACCUAGUAAAUUAUCAUAUGUAUUAAAAUACUAUUAAAUAUAUACAUCUUACUUUAAAAGUUAAUUUAUUUAAUAGAACAUUGGACAUUUC
ensembl:lncRNA